UCCGUAGGGUGAACCUGCGGAAGGAUCAUUAUUGAAUUUU
rnacentral:rRNA from 1 species